rnacentral:lncRNA from 1 species
AUUUGUAAAAUCGACAUCAUGAUACCCACUCCCAGAAGUUGUUCUUCCCAAUGGCAUAGGUGGAGUGUGUUACUCUUGGGGCUGGAAUGAGCAUGGCAUGUGCGGAGAUGGCACUGAAGCCAACGUCUGGGCCCCAAAGCCGGUGCAGGCUCUGCUGUCAUCGUCAGGACUCCUUGUGGGCUGUGGGGCUGGCCACUCCUUGGCCCUCUGCCAGCUGCCAGCUCACCCUGCAUUGGUCCAGGACCCCAAGGUCACCUACCUUUCCCCAGAUGCCAUCGAGGACACUGAAUCUCAGAAAGCCAUGGACAAAGAGAGAAACUGGAAGGAAAGACAAUCAGAAACUUCAACCCAAAGCCAAUCUGACUGGUCCAGAAAUGGGGGACUGUGAUAGAGAAUCUUUAAUAAAGUGGCUUUUCCCACCAAAA